GCCCCCGAACGGAAGUGGUGCGCUCAGCUACUGACUCCUGCCGGGUCCCUGGGUCUUGGGCUCGCUUCACUGCUGCGCAGCUCGGAUCCUCUCGUGCAUGGAUUGCACGUGUGAGGAGAGGUCCGCGGAGGACAGGAGCGACGAGGAGGACUCCGACUCCCCGGAAGUACCGGCCCGUAUCCGGGACACCCCUGAAGACAUCGUUUUGGAAGCGCCAGCCAGUGGGCUGGCAUUCCACCCGUCCCGUGACCUCCUGGCGGCGGGGGACGUGGACGGGGACGUGUUUGUGUAGGUGCACGGUUUUCCUACUCCUGCCAAGAGGGAGAAACCAAGGAGCUCUGGUCCUCAGGUCACCACCUCAAGUCUUGCCGCGCUGUGGUCUUCUCUGAAGAUGGGCAGAAACUUGUUACUGUAUCCAAGGACAAAGCCAUCCAUGUUCUAGAUGUGGAGCAGGGCCGACUGGAAAGACGUAUUUCCAAGGCGCAUGGUGCCCCAAUCAACAGUCUGCUGCUGGUGGAUGAGAAUGUUCUAGCCACUGGGGAUGACACAGGUGGCAUCCGGCUGUGGGACCAGCGGAAGGACGGCCCCGUAAUGGAUAUGCGGCAGCAUGAGGAGUACAUUGCUGACAUGGCUCUGGACCCAGCCAAGAAGCUGUUGCUGACAGCCAGUGGGGAUGGCUGCCUUGGUGUCUUCAAUAUCAAGCGACGCCGGUUCGAGUUGCUUUCAGAACCUCAGUCUGGAGACCUGACCUCUGUCACAAUCGUGAAAUGUGGGAGGAAGGUGGCCUGUGGCUCCAGUGAAGGUACCAUCUACCUCUUCAACUGGAAUGGCUUUGGGGCCACAAGUGACCGCUUUGCCCUGAGAGCCGAGUCUAUCGACUGCAUGGUUGCAGUCACCGACAGUCUGCUGUGCACUGGGUCCACUGAUGGAGUUAUCAGGUGAGAGGGGCCAGGCCCUCAGGUCACAGGAAGGGUAGGCCCAACCAGCCAAUACCCAACACUCUUUUCCCUCCACCCAGGGCUGUGAACAUCCUGCCGAACCGCGUGGUGGGCACUGUGGGCCAGCACACCGGGGAGCCUGUGGAGAAGCUGGCCCUCUCCCACUGCGGCCGCUUCUUGGCCAGCAGUGGCCAUGACCAAUGCCUCAAGUUUUGGGACACGGCCCAGUCGCAGGCUGUGGUAGUGAAUGACUACCGUCGGCGUAAAAAAAAGGGAGGGCCGCUUCGGGCGCUGAGCAGCAAGGCUUGGAGCACUGAUGACUUCUUUGCAGGACUGAGGGAAGAGGAAAAGGAGGAAGAGGAGAGUGAGGACGACAGUGACUGAGGGAUGAGCUGAAUCUCAAAGACAGGUCCUCAUUGGGCAAGAGUCUUGCUCCCUGGGCUGAAUCCCCAGAGGCUGUGCGGAUGUCAUGCCCUCUUGUGCGGCACAUGGAGAAGGGCAGACGGGCUCGGGACUGUGGGGAAGCAGUGCUGCUCACACCACCAGUGUAAGCCAAGUCCACAGCUGGGGCAAGACGGCACGGACACAGGUGUACACCAACCAGGGGUUUAAUAUAAAUACAACCAGCAUAGAAAAACCAACCAACAAUACACGUACACCAAAACCAAAAUGCCAACUGGUGGGGACAAAUGGCAGAUUUAUGACCCUUUGGCUCAGCCUUCCCCGAAAUAAAAACCAACAAAGACAAAUCAACAAAAUGAGCAAAGAUUCACACUAAGCUGUGGGAGGAGACAGAGUGAGAGAGAGGCUGUGUGUGUCACACAGGCCAAGGAAAACCCUGGGCUGGGAGUGGGAGGGAGGGCAAGGUCCCUCACCACAGCUUAGCCAAACCUGAGCUGUCCCUAGGUGCACUGGGGCUGUGCCCCAGCUGGGAGGCUGUCAGGCUCAGGGCAGGACCCAGGUUCCUCCCCUUCUUUGGGGAUCAGAUGGUGGCUACCCAGGCCUGCUGGGUUGGAGACUGACACAGGCUUUGCCUACUUGUUCAGGCUGCCUGUGGAGACAAUGGGGUUACUACUUAACCAUGGUACCUGCCUCAGCUCCAGCAGGCCACAGGAGGCUGGCCCCAGACUCACUCAGUGUCUCCAGGAGCCGUGCAGACACAGCGUCCUUGGCCACCUCAUGCCCGUCCUGCCCAUCCAUGGUCAGUACAACCCAGAUGAGGCCGCUGAAGGGCACUGGAUGCCCAGGGAUCACCACCUGGUACCAAAAGUGGUGCCAGCCAGCAGGGCCUGUGCCCAAGCACUUGGUGAGGAACACUGGGCUGCCCAACUUCAUCCGCUGGCACAGCAGCUGCAGGGCAGCUCGAGCCCCUUGGGACUCUAGCUUGUCCCUAGCCAGCACCAAUUGGCUACCCUCUGGCUGUAGGCCCCUUGGGGAGGGCCCCACAACCUGCUGCUGGCGGAGUCGCUGCUUCAGGUCUGGCUUGAGCCACUCCACAGCCACCUGCUCUCCACAGAGGCGUGACUGCCCUGCAGGAAAAAGGCAAAGGGAAGACAGUUCUUAGCCCUGGGCUAAGCCCCAGCCUGUUUUAAUCUCCAGCCUCCCAUUUCCAGGUGGUGUGACCUCUGGCAUAUUCAGUGACUUAAGGCUUCAUUGUAUUUGUAAAGAGGGUGUAAUAAUUGCUGCCUUCUAAAUUUUCUUGGAGGUGUACUGGUAAAUGCUAGUUUUACCCACUGCAUAAUCAUAAAAUAGCUCAUCUUUACUGUG